GGGGAGGGAAGGAGGGAGAGGGGAGAGGGGACGCGUCCCCACCGCCGCCCGCUCGCACACGCACGGCACUCCGCCGCCGCAGCGCUCUUGGAGCGGCACCGCGGCUUGCUCGGGGCUCCUCGGCUCGCGCUUCUCUCCUCAGAAAUUCAGGCAGAGCCGCGGCGGAGAGCGGGAAAGGUCCCCCUUCUGAGCCCUCUGUGAGAGGUGAGGAAGCACCACUCGGUAACUCCAUAACACAUCACGGAGGACCGUUCCUCCAACUGAUCGCGCCGCUUUCCCGUUGCAGCUCUGCUGACGGAGGCUCCCACCGCCCCGGCAGAAGGAGCCCCGCUCUGCGGAGCAGAGGUAUUUAUUGACGGGCUAAUUGAAGGGAGGGAAUAGCCCCGACAUCCAGCAGCAGCACAAGUUGUGAACACGGGACCUUAAAAGCUGCUGGGACCUCCGUUUUGCUGGAGAAAGGUUUAAUAUAAAUUAAGCGGGGUGAUGAUUAACUACGGCAGCAUCUGAAGCGCGGUGAGGAGCGAGCGCUGCUCUCUGCCCUUGGAAACCAAAGCAAUCCCUUCCCGAGUGGAGAGGGAGCACUCAGCAUCCUUCCCUCGGCUGCGUCCUUCCCAGAGCUAACCCUCCGUGCUGAAAGCCGAUGGUUAGAAGUAGCAGCACAAUGCAAAAACCCUGCGGUUUGCUCCUGAAGUUCGUGUUUUUGUUAACAGAGCUUCGCCGGCUUCAAAGUUACAGGUGGUGUUUGCUAAGGUUUACAUUCGUGCUGUCACUCACACAAGUGUCGCUAUAUAUCACCCCACGCUAAGAAAACACACUUUGUGAUUGAAGAAUGGCAUUGUGUUUGCACACGCAUUUUACAAGUAACAAAAUCCAUUUAAUUGACAUGAAAAACACGGCUGCUGCUAGUAAGUUUGGGGGCAGCGUCCUGCUUGCAGCCGUAAAAAUAACUCCGGGGAGAACAAAGCGCUUCAGUGCAGAGGGCUGGCUGCGGCGGGAGCGGGGUGGGUGCCAUGCCUUCACAUAAUGAUUGUGUUUAUACACGGCAGGAAGCAUCUGUAAUCCACAGCUGCGGGUGCUCCAGCCCCGAGUCCUGAUAAAAUCUACACCUAUGCUUCUGCAUGAAUGAAAACAGGCUGCUGGACCUGACCGAAAUGCAGCCCGUGUUGGUGAAGUUUUGUGGGUGCCAUCGCCCUCCUUCCUGUUGUGCACCCCAGCGCCUGCUCUGCUCACAUCUCCAUCACGUUCACUCCUCGCACACCAUUUGCCCCAGUCAAGGGACACCCCAGUCAAGUGGCACCCCCAGCUGCCCCACAACAUGGAGGCAGAGACCCCCCAGCUGCUCGCUGGAGGUUCAGCCUCUUGGCCAAAGAGUGAAGCACUUUCUCUGCCAAGUUCCCUUCUCUCAGGGUGCACAUGCACCCAAAGCAGCACUGUACUGACCUCCCUCCCCAUGCUCACCUCACUGUGCCACCCACCCUGCAGAGUGAAGCCAGCAGUACAUACUGUUCAUACAACGUUUUCAGACCACUUCAGCUCCCCUUCUCAAGCUCUGUGGAAGAGCCGUGCAACAGUUUAAGUUGGGACUUGGCAAAGCAAUGUUGCAGCUGCAGAGGAUGCACGAUGCUUAGCAGAGGUGACCUGUGACGUGGGCUCUGCUAGGUUUCACACCUGGAGCAGCACAGGUAGCAACCCGAGGCUUGCAGACGCCACUGGCAUCUGAUGCUUGUGGGUUUGUUUCAAAAAUCAUACUCUGAAUUCCGAUAGAGCUCUGCCUUCCUUCCCUGCUGCUGUGAGUGGAUGCUCCAACACAGAAGGCUGCCAGGCAGGAGUUGUGAAAAUAUGGCUGUACGAUCUUUAAUUCUUUGUUUUUGCAAAGACUGGUUUAGAACAGUGGUAAAGGGACACAACUGUCUUAAAUUAAUCAUUUUCCUAAGUUGAAAAAUACCCUUCUUUUCCCAUAAUUAUUUUCAGUUCAAGAAUUCAAAAAUUCAGCUGCAGUGAAGUUUAAUCCAUCUCUAUAAACGCACAAGAAUGGAAAAACACGCAGCUUUUCAGAGGCUUCCAGCAAUACCCAGAAAUAUGUGUAUAAAUUUCCAAACAGCAAAUUUAAAAAGCCUGCAGAGAAAAGAAGUAAAAAAUCCUGAAUUAAAACUCUCUGUUUGUUAUUGGUGCAUGAGUUAUGCCGUAUCAGAUGUCACCCACUUUCGCUUGCCCCAGAACAACAGCUUGGACAAGUGGGAAAUAUUGGGUACUCAGUGAAAAUGGGGUGUGAUGCAGCUCCACAGCAGUCUCAGGAUGGGAGUCUCUUUACAAUGAACAAAAUGAUUUCUGUCUUUGUAUUUUUCAAAUGUUCCAACACCACAAAGUCGUGCCACAGUAGAUUAAACAGAAAAAUAACAGUUUCUGAAAUACAAUCUCCAAAAAAAUAAUUGCAGGAGAAAUAUUCAUUCCUAGUCCAAUAAAUCCCUAAUUUUAAAUGUCAGCUGCAAAGCAUAAAUCCUUUUAAUAGAUUUCAAACUGCGGUGACAAAGUUGUAAUUGUAGGGUCCAGCCCACUCGAAAGAACUGAAUGCCGUUGCUCUGUAUUAGCCACCCUUCUGGUUUAAUUUCUGUUUUUUUUUUCCAGGGGUUUUGUUUUGCUUUGCCUUGUUUUGGGUUUGUUCUUUUCUUUUUUUUUUUUUGAUCCUUGUUUGUUUGUUUGUUUUUGCUGCGGCAUUUUAAUCUCCUCUCUUUUAGGAAUUUUCUGUUACAUUCCUGAGCCUGGUUCUGGAAUACUUUCAUCUCAGAUUGAGCAGAAUCUUGUUUCUGUUCCUCGGUAGAUGUCUGAAGUGCAAAAUCUACUUGAUCAUAACUUUCUGUGGGGUUUACUGCAGGGUAGUCUGCACGUAAAGACCCUGAAGUCAUGUGAAAUAGGAGCCUUGACCUCAAGACACAAUAAAGUUGGCUGGUUUGGUUGUGGCUCAAAAGGUCACUUUUUUUCGGGGACUGCCUCUGAGUGCUGUUUUAAACUAAUUAUUACCUUUGAUUUUAACUUAACAUUUGUUUAAAAAGAAAAAAAAAAGAGAGAGAGGAAAGAAGAAAAGAAAAAGAAGAAAGAAUGAAAAGGAAAUGAAAGGAAAAGGAAAAAACCCUCAGUUACUACUACUUAAACAGUUUGACUGGCAUGUAUAUCACAUUAUGGACAUAUGAAAAGACAAGAUUUCUGCCUGAGGAGCUUAUAGUGUAAAACAGACAGAAAGUACCGUGAAUAAUAAAAGCAGACAGAGCAGAGAUUUGUGUGUGUACGUGGGAAGAGUGGGGAGGUGCGUAGAAACAUAUUCAGAGCUCAGAAAUAUUCUACCAAUUGACACUGAUUAUGAUACUUUUCUUUCUUGUUCUGUUUCCAUGUACGUACGGUAAUAGCUUUGUUCUUCUCUAUUUACCUGUUUUUUCAGUGAGAUAUUCUAUCACAGGAGAUCACCUGCUUUCUUUUUCUGUUCUAGGUUCUAGGACA